GGGAGAGUUCACAUCAUGAUCAGGGAAAUAAUCAAUAAAUAGACUAGAAAUUAACAUACUGCAUAAAAACUAAUAACAGGAUGGGAACCAUUAAUCGCAUAUAAUGCCAGUGUUAUUGAUGCCAUAAUGAGAUUGACCUCCACAACCAAAAAUAAGUUCAAAAAUCAAAGAAAACCUGCUUUUAAUGGACAUGCCCUGCAAACAAGCUAUGCAGGGUUUGUGUAUACCUGUUUAUCUAAAUAAUAUUAUGAGUCGUCACAACACAAGUUGUUUUCAAUUUUUUUUAACCCCCUUCCGUUCCCACAAUUGUAAUUCUUCACACUUUGAAUCCAAAGAACACAAAUAU
rnacentral:misc_RNA from 1 species